AGUGGCAAACGGGUGAGUAAUAUAUAGGAAUCUACCUAGCAGUAAGGGAUAACUUUGGGAAACCAAAGCUAAUACCAUAUACACCCCGCCUUAAAACGGGGGAAAGAUUUAUCGCUGUUAGAUGAGCCUGUAUCGGAUUAGCUAGUUGGUAGGGUAAUGGCCUACCAAGGCGAUGAUCCGUAGCUGAUCUGAGAGGAUGAUCAGCCACAUUGGGACUGCGACACGGCCCAAACUCCUACGGGAGGCAGCAGUGGGGAAUAUUGGACAAUGGACGCAAGUCUGAUCCAGCAAUACCACGUGAGUGAUGAAGGCCUUCGGGUUGUAAAACUCUUUUAGUAGGGAAGAUAAUGACGGUACCUACAGAAAAAGCACCGGCUAACUUCGUGCCAGCAGCCGCGGUAAUACGAAGGGUGCUAGCGUUGUUCGGAAUCAUUGGGCGUAAAGCGUGCGUAGGCGGCCAGGUAAGUCGGCUGUGAAAUCCCAGAGCUUAACUUUGGAAUUGCAGUCGAAACUGCCAGGCUUGAUUAUGGUGGAGGAUAGUGGAAUUCCUAGUGUAGGAGUGAAAUCCGUAGAUAUUAGGAAGAACACCAGUGGCGAAAGCGACUAUCUACGCCAUCAAUGACGCUGAGGUACGAAAGCGUGGGGAGCAAACAGGAUUAGAUACCCUGGUAGUCCACGCAGUAAACGAUGAGUGCUAGUUGUUGGGAUCUUAGAUCUCGGUGGCGAAGCUAACGCGUUAAGCACUCCGCCUGGGGAGUACGGCCGCAAGGCUAAAACUCAAAGGAAUUGACGGGGACCCGCACAAGCAGUGGAGCAUGUGGUUCAAUUCGAUGCUACACGAAAAACCUUACCAGCCCUUGUAUCCUCAUUUUGAUUUUCAGAGAUGAAUUUCUUCACUUCGGGUGGGUGAGAGACAGGUGUUGCAUGGCUGUCGUCAGCUCGUGUCGUGAGAUGUUAGGUUAAGUCCUUCAACGAGCGCAACCCUCAUCCUUAUUUGCCAUCGGGUUAUGCCGGGAACUAUAAGGAAACUGCCAACGACAAGUUGGAGGAAGGUGGGGAUGAUGUCAAGUCAUCAUGGCCCUUAUGGGCUGGGCUACACACAUACUACAAUGGUGGUUACAACGGGACGCCAAGCAGCAAUGCGGAGCAAAUCCUAUUAAAAGCCAUCUCAGUUCGGAUUGGGGGCUGCAACUCGCCCCCAUGAAGUCGGAAUUGCUAGUAAUCGCGGAUCAGCAUGCCGCGGUGAAUACGUUCUCGGGUCUUGCA
rnacentral:rRNA from 1 species